rnacentral:rRNA from 1 species
GUGAGGAAGAAAAGCACUAAUACACAAGAUCCUAUAAGAACUUCGUAGUUAAGUGUGUUUGGGCAAGAGCUGUACUAGGAUGGGUGACCUCCUGAGAAGUCCCCGGGUCGUACACC